UGAAACUUGGUAAUUUUCUGUUAUUUGGAAAUAAAAUCUACAUAUAGCAAAAAGGAAAAAAACUAACGCAACAAAGGAAAAACUGAUGCAAGUAUAUGUUUUCUUUCAAAAAGAGAAUCAGACAUGUAUCUACCAAUGAACCAUCCACUUAUUUUUAUAAGUGGGUUCGCACAUGUAAAAUAUUAUGUAUCGUUACAAAUAUAGAAUUUACACAAUAAUUAUAGAAUUUCUUCGAAGUAACUAGCUCCACCCCUGGAUAGGAGGUUUGAUCGAAAGUAAAAGAGAACUCUUGAAAAGAGGCUUGCUAACAUCUUUCCAAUUGCUUCCAAUUUUCACUUUCUUCAAGUGCAUGCUCCAAAGCUCCCAAAUAAGAAGCAAUGUAAAUGUUAAUUAACAAUAUAUAUCAACAUAAAUAAAUCUUGCAUAAUCAGUCAAUAGUUGUUCCUAUCUCCUUAAUACAAACAGCCACCAUCUCGCCAUUGCUCAACACAAAAAAUUUCACACGUUAUAAACUAAAAAUUAGUCUGAAAGUAAAUUACACAGAAGAGAUAGGUGGCGAAUCCAUAACUCAAAAGAAAUGAUGGAAGCUAAUUAAUAUCAUCAUGCAUAUGGUGGUCAGUGUGGAAGAAAAGAAAUGGAAGAUAUUUUGAAGAUAGAUUUAAUUUUAAUUUUAUUCGAAAAAGUAAUACGGAAUUGUUUAACAUCUUUAUAUUUUUGGUGUAAACAACUAAGAAUAGAAGAUGUAGAUCAUAGGGAGCUUGCAGUUUUGAUCUACAUCUUCUAUAUAAAGUUGUUUAUAUCAAAAAAGAAAAGAUACUAAACUAUUCUAUUUUACUUUGUGAACGAGACUAGAUCAAUCUUCAAAACGUCUACUAUAUCUUUCCAUCCAUACUAACCAUCAUAUGUAUAAUGGUAUUAGAUUUCACCACUUCUAUUGAAUAUUGAAUCCCCCUCUUCUUUGUGUAAUUUUCUUUUGCACUAGUUAUUAGUUUAUAAUGUGUGGGAUCUUUUCAGUUAAGCAGUGGAGAGAAGGUGGCUGUUGGAUUAAGGAGAUAAGAAUAUGACAAAGUUCUAAUUUUUUUUCUUCUAUUCCAUUAUUUGAAACACAAAUUUGAUGCGAGUAAGAAAUUUAGAAUUUAAAGGAACUAAAAAUUUCGAAAGUAAAUUGUCUUAAAAGAAUUUUGGUCUACAUACACUGCAAUACUAAUAGUUUAUAAAAAUCAAGACUCGAACCUGCUUCAAGGAGAUGGGAACGCCAGAAAAGCAACCACACCACAUUUAGCCCAAUAGAUUGCUAUUCUUGCUUGUCAAUUACAAAUGGUUGCCCUCUAUUUAUACUACUAAUUUAGGGUUAACAUAUAAAUAAUAAUUGUUAUGUGAGUCCCUACAUAUUUACAAAUAAGUGUUUAUUCUAGAAUACUCUAUACAACUAGAAUAUUCUAAUGACUUUUCAUGUAACUCCAUGAAAUUAUAAGAUCUUCCAAAGAUUUCACCAUAUAUUUCUAGAAUAUUUCCGAUGUAAGUCUUCCAUGUGGACAAUAUAUAAAUAAUCAUUGUUAUAUGAGUCCCUACAUAUUUACAAAAAAGUCUCCAUUCUAGAAUAUUCUAUAAAGAGCUUCUUAUGAGCCUAAAUGUCAUCUUUACCUUAAAGCUGCUUAAGAUUGUUAAACUUCACUAUUCGACUUGAUGCGCUGAGAGCGAUGAAAAAGGAUUUUCGGGGUAAUGGAGACCAGGAAAGAGGGAAGCUUCAAUUAGAAUAUUCUAAGGCUUUUUCAUGUAAAUCCAUGAAAUUCUAAAAUCUUCCUAAGAUUUCUAGAAUAUUCCAUUAAGGAUUCUUCUUCUUCCAAUGUAAGUCCUCCAUUUGGACAAAUUCAUGCCAUAUAACGCCUAAGAGAUAUGAUGGCAUGGCAAAACAUGACAUUAGAGGUUGAUAGGUUUUGUUGAAAAGUAAGAAAAUUCUUCUUUAAUUUUUGGGCUUUACAGUGACAGCAAGUGUUGGUAUGUGUUGUGGCCUUUUGUCUCACAUAACCGUUUGAUAAUCUCUGACAUCUACUAGAUAUAAUAAUAUCUUAAUUACCGUAAACCAUCAUAAACCAAAAAAAUAAAUAACACAUUUGGUCAUAACAAUACAAAAAAACACUUACAUAGAAGAAAAAUAAAGUUCAUUAGAAUCCGGACAUAUCUCUUUUUCUAGCAAAUGAGUUGGCGUAAGUAAGAUCUGAUAGUAACAAUGCCAUUAUUUUGUGAGGUAUUUUUAUAUUUCUUAAAAGGAAAAAAUUAAUAACAGUUCACUUUGAUACAAUAGAGAAAUAGAAGAAAAAAAAUGGUACUAUCAACAAAAUUACAGAGAUACAUGAAGUCAACUUAGGAUAAAUAUAAUUAUUAUGACAUCAAACGGAGUUUCAUGAUGAUGCUUGAAAUAGGGGAUUGAUCUAUGAUUAGAGUGCUUGUAAGAUAGGGAUUAGAGUUAGUUGAUAAGAAGAGAUUAGAUAUGAGCUUGAAAUUAAAAAAUAUCUAUAUUUUCUUAAAUUGCUAUAUUUUGAGAAGUGUGAUUAUAUUGUGUUAUUAGUUAAAAAUAUCUUUAAAACUGAUACUUUGGAAUCAUAUUUCCUCAUAUGAUAAUCUCUCAUUUGCUUCUUCUCCUUUUGGAGCCUCCUCAUCGACAUGCAUCGAACGAGAUCACUUUUGAUAAGGAGGUAUUUUUAUCCUCCCUAGUCUCUAUCUACUUUCACCUCGAUUCUGAAAUGUGUUGCUUAGUCAGAAUAUUCAGAACUAAUUAUGAAAAUAUUUUAAUUAUUGUUCUUUCUUUUUGAUGAACCCCUCACCCAACUGCAAACCUAGUGGUGCAUGGCUUUUUUACUUUUAGAGUGCAUCACUUCACUUGAGUGUUGUAUAACUUAACCUUUCACACUAAUAGUGGUACUAUUUAUUGUUUCUUGUAUCCAAAUUGUUGUUCUAUUUUGUUGUAGUUACUAGUCCUUUUAAGAAUGUUUGUCAUUUUUUAUUGAGAAAAUACAUCAAAUUCCUCCUGAACUUGGCAGCACAACUUACUUUAGCACUUAAACUACACGAGCGUUUAAAUAUGCCCCCCUUAACAUCUUUGAAGUGAAUUAAAUACAAUCCUGAGAGUAGAUUACCACUCUCACCUGUCACAUCAUAGUCAUGUAAGUGCCACAUCACAACCAUGUAAGCAUCACAUCAUUAAUUUUCAAUCUUUUUUUUUUUUGCUUAUUCACCCCUUUUUCUUAAAUAUUUUUAAAAAUUCAUUACACUAAUCAAUUAAUUAAAAAUGCAUUUUAAAAUCAAAAUUUCCCCACCUUCUUCCACCCCUUCUCUUCUACCCCCCCCCCCACCCCCUCUCUUUCUUCUUUUUUUGAUUUUCACCAUUUUCAGCCUUCACUGGCUUAUUUUUUUCCGGACCAUUUCUAGCCUUCAAUAGUGUUAGUUAUUGUUUUUCUCUUUCAGUUGUUAGCUAGUGUUUUAGCUGAUCGAGUCUUUAGCAAAUAAGUAGGUUGUUGAAUAGAAGUAGGAGAAUCAUUUUAGUUUGUUAGUAGUUGAGUAAUCGUAGGAGUUAGUGGAUUGCUACGUUAUUUUUCCGUGAAUAAAACUCUAUCUAAAGAGUUCACUUGAUGUACUUCAAAGACACGAUCUAUAUUUUGCCAACUGAAUAGAGUUCACAUUUUUCUUCUCAUCUCUAUUUUUUCCAUCAGUGGUAUCAGCGCCAGGUUAAAACCUUUGAACUUUUGUGAGAGAAACGCAUAAGAAAAAUUGCAGCAGCAAGUGAACUUAUGGCUUCAGAAAACUUUGUGCAUGUAUCCAUUCCUCGUUUUGAUGGUCACUAUGAUCAUUGGAGCAUGUGGAUGGAGAAUUUUCUAAGAUCAAAGGAGUAUUGGCAAGUGGUUGUGGAUGGCAUACCAAAACCAGCAGAAAGCACAGCAGUGUCAGACGCACAAAAAGCAUAAGCAUAGGCAGCAAAGUUAAAGGACCUUAAGGCAAAGAAUUAUCUUUUCCAAGCAAUUGAUCAUUCAAUCUUGGAAACUAUUCUUUCUAAAGACACUUCUAAGCAGAUUUGGGACUCUAUGAAGAAGAAAUAUCAAGGAUCAACAAGGGCAAAGAGGCAGCAGCUUCAAGCACUUCGUUUGGAGUUUGAAACUCUUUGGAUGAAAUCGAGAGAGUCAGUUACUGACUAUUUUUCACGGGUGAUGACAAUCGUCAACAAGAUGCGGAUCCACGGUGACAAGUCAAAUAAAGUUACAAUUGUUGAAAAGAUUCUUCGAAAAAUGACACCAAAAUUUAACUUAGUCGUUUGUUCUAUUGAAGAAUCUCAUGAUAUUGAUAUGCUUUCAAUUAAUGAAUUACAAAGCUCUUUGUUGAUUCACGAGAAAAAAAUUACUCAACAAGAAAAGUAGGAGGUGGCAUUGAGUGCCUCAACAGAUGAUUGUUCCGGAGGACAAAGGUAUAACAGAGGUAAUGGUAGAGGUAGAGGCCGAGGCAAUAGUGUUUAUCAUAGAAAUCGUCAACAACGUCAAAACCAUGAUAAUCAAGGCAGAUGAAAGGGGCGAAGUGGCUACAACUCACAGUCAUGGGACAAGUCUAAAGUUGAAUGUUACAGAUGCCACAAAUUCAGUCAUUAUAAAUCAGAAUGCCGAACAAACUUGUCUAAGUUGUGUAGAGAGGAAUCUAAUUUUGCACAAACGAAGGAAGAAGAAGAGGUUUCACUUUUGAUGGCAUAUCAUUCCAAAGAGAAAGUUUCCACUAAUUUAUGGUAUCUCGAUACCGGCUGCAGUAAUCACAUGUCUGGGCAAAAAGAGGAAUUUUCAGAGUUGGAUAAAACUUUUCGAGGUACUGUGAGAUUUGGAGAUAACUCAGUGGUCUCUGCCAUGGGAAAAAGGGAAGGUACAAGUCUCAACCAAAAAUAACUCUAUUCAUACCAUAGGUGAUGUGUUUUAUGUUCCUGCUUUGAAGGCAAAUUUAUUAAGUGCUGGGCAACUUCAAGAAGAUGGAUAUGAAAUUAAUAUCAAAGGUGGAGUGUGUAAGAUACGAGAUUCUUAUUUGGGGUAGAUCGCUCAGAUUAACAUGUCAAAUCGCUUGUUCCCGUUACAUCUUCGCAACUCCACAAAAUCUUAUUUUUCUGCAAAAGUGAAAGUUGAUGCCUGGUUGUGACAUUUUCGUUAUGGGCACCUUAAUUUUAAUGGACUGAGAACUCUACAUCAGAAGAAAAUGGUGAAUGGUCUUCCUCAAAUUGCAGCUCCUUCAGGAACUUGUGAAAGUUGGGUUGUUAGGAAACAACCUCGCAGUCCAUUUCCAUAAGGCAAAUCUAGGAGAGCAAAGGCGUUGUUGGAAUUGGUGCACUCAGAUCUCUGUGGACCAAUAAAUCCAAAUUCAAAUGGUGGUAAAAGGUACUUCAUAACCUUCAUUGAUGACUUUAGUCGGAAAACAUGGGUAUAUUUUUUUUACAAGAAAAGUCUGAAGCGUUUGACAUUUUUAAACGUUUUAAAGUACUUAUUGAGAAAGAAACUGGUAGUCCAUUGAAAGUUCUUCGUACUGAUCGUGGAGGAGAGUUCAAUUCUCAAGAAUUUGCAAAUUUUUGUGAGGAAAAUGGAAUCAAGAGGCAACUUACAACAGCUUACACACCUCCGCAAAAUGGUGUUUGUGAGCGGAAGAAUCACACAAUCCUCAAUAUGGUGCGCAACAUUUUGACAAGGAGUGGUGUCUCUAAAAGAUUUUGGCCAGAAGCUGUUGACUGGAGCAUUCAUAGUUUAAACAGAAGUCCCAACUUUCUCUGUUCAAAAUAUGACUCUGGAGGAGGCAUGAAGCCGACAAAAACCAAGUGUCGGCUAUUUCAGAAUCUUCGGAUGUGUGACAUAUGCUCAUGUUUCAGAUUAGAAAAGGAUCAAGCUAGAUGAUAAAGGAGAAAAAUGCAUUUUUCUUGGUGUUAGUAAUCAAUCUAAGGCUUAUAAGUUAUAUAACCCUAUCACCAAGAAAAUUGUCAUUAGCCGUGAUGUAAUUUUUGAUGAAGAUGCUACUUGGUCAUGGAAGGACAAAGGAGAUCAACAGCUUGUUCCAGUAGCUUUUAAAGAGGAAACGCUGCAACUGGAAAAUUCAAAUCCAAUUUAAUCACCGAUUUCAGUUCCUACACAAGAAGCGGAGCGACCUCAACGAUAAAAAAGGAGACCCGCAUGGAUGGCAGAUUUAAGGUAACUGGAAUUGAUCAAUCGGAAGAUCCAAUCAUUUAUUUUGCCUUAUUUUCAGAAAGUGAUCCUACUAGUUUUGAAGAAGCUGUUAAAGAUGAAGAAAUGGCAGCAAUUGAUAGAAAUGACACUUGGGAGUUGACUGAGCAUCCAAAAGGGCAUAAGACAAUCAGUGUCAAGUGGAUAUACAAGAAAAAGAUGAACAAGGAAGGUAAAGUCGAGCGGCACAAAGCACACUUAGUAGCUAAAGGCUAUAAGCAAAAGUUCGGUGUGGACUACAAAGAAGUUUUUGCUCCGGUGGCAAGACUUGACACUAUCAGAUUAGUGAUAGCUUUGGUUGCUCAACACACAUGGCCCAUUUUUCAAAUGGACGUCAAAUCGGCCUUCUUACAUGGGGACUUAGAUGAACAAGUAUUUGUUGAUCAACCUCCUGUUUAUGUCAAGGUUGGAGAAGAACAUAAGGUGUGUAAAUUAAAAAAAGGCAUUGUAUGGACUAAAACAAGCUCCACGAGCUUGGUAUAGUCAUAUAAAUGCUUAUUUUUCGAAUGAGGGCUUCAAGAAAUGUCCAUAUGAGCACUCUUUUUACAAAGAAUGAUGAUAAAGGAAAAAUGCUCAUUGUUUGUUUAUAUGUGGAUGAUUUAAUUUACACCGGAAAUGACAUCUCCAUGGUUGAAAGUUUUUAGAAGUCCAUGAUGGUGGAAUUUGAUAUGACAGAUUUUGGAAUGAUGCAUUAUUUUCUUGGCAUUGAAGUCGUUCAGUCUGCUGAUGGGAUUUUCAUCACACAAAAGAAAUAUGCUCAAGAGAUUUUGGACAAGUUUCAGAUGAAGAGUUGCAACUCUGCCAGCAGUCCCACUUAGUUCGGUUCGAAGUUCACUAAAGAACCCGGAGGAAGAAGAGUUGACAACACUCUUUACAAGCAAAUAGUGGGAAGUUUGAUGUAUUUAACGGUCACAAGGCCUAAUAUUAUGCAUGAUGUAAGUCUUAUUAGCAGAUACAUGGAAAGUCCCAAAGAGAUGCAUCUUCUAGCCGCAAAGAGAAUUUUUCGAUACUUGCAAGGAACUACUAAUUAUGGUAUGUUCUACACGAAAGGAGAAAAAUUAGACUUGGUUGGAUUUACUGACAAUGAUUAUGCUGGAGAUUUGGAUGAUUGGAAAAGCACGUCUGGUUAUGUCUUUAUGAUGGGGUCGGGAGCAAUUUCAUGGUCUUCACGAAAACAAUCAAUUGUGACUUUAUCAACUACAGAAGCUGAAUUUGUGGCAGCAACAGCAUGCGUCUGUCAAGCAAUUUGGAUGCGCAAGGUUCUUGAAGAAAUUCACUUCAAGCAGAGUGGCUCUACUACCAUUUAUUGUGACAACAGUUCAGCAAUAAAGCUCUCCAAAAAUGUUGUUCAGCAUGGCUGAAGUAAACAUAUAGAUGUCAAAUUUCAUUUCUUAAGGGACAUCACAAAAGAUAGAGUAAUUGAUCUCAUCUUCUGCAGAAGUGAAAAUCAGAUUGUUGAUGUGUUUACCAAAUCUCUCAAGUUAGCAUCCUUCCUGAAGUUCAGAAAAUUACUUGGUGUUUGCACUUUGGAAAAUCACAUUUAAAACAAGUUGUCUGCUGCAAGCAUGUUAAACUGAUAGUGUGACUUUCAGUUUAAGGGAGGGAUUGUUAGUUAUUGUUUUUUUCUUUCAUGAGUUGUUAGCUAGUGUUUUAGCUGACGAGUCUUUAGCAAAUAAGUAGGUUGUUGAAUAGAAGUAGGAGAAUCCUUUUAGUUUGUUAGUAGUUGAGUAAUCGUAGGAGUUAGUGGAUUGCUACGUUAUUUUUUCGUGAAUAAAACUUUAUUUAAAGAGUUCACUUGAUGUACUUCAAAGACACGAUCGAUAUUUUGCCAACUGAAUAGAGUUCACGUUUUUCUUCUCAUCUCUGUUUUUUCCAUCAAAUAGUUGUUUUCUUCUUCAACAUUCAUCAAUUUUUUAUUAUUAUAUUUUAAAAAGAGCAUACUUACUUUUUCUUCUUCGAACCCUCUCCCUACAAAUCUGCCAUCGGAGAAUGAUAUUUUCUGAAAGUAUUUUUUUUUUCUUAACAACUCAAAUGAAAAAUGAAGGUUGUAUAAGAAAGUUGAUAUACCCACAUUUUUUGCAUCACAACUGCUAGAAUUCAAAAUGGAUCACUUAAAAUUCAAGAAAGUUUACAUUCAAUAAUAUGAAUUAGGUGUUGGGUUUUUUGGAUUAAUGAAUGGCUAGUGAGGUGAGAGAUGAACUUGAAGGAAACAUGACUAAUAUGGAGGAAGAAAAGUAUAAGGAGUACUUUAAUGGAGAAGACAACAAAAUAAAGAGAAAACAAAUAGAUUAUUUUUUAAAAAAAAAAAAUUGAACCCACAAACGUCAUUUACUUUUAAACAAAAAAUUUCACAUUUUUUUUAAAUUUAACUUAUAAAAUAAUUUAAAAAUCAUUAGUUAUAUAUUGGCCAAUAAAAAAAUGUCAUGUGUAUGAUAUUACCAUUCUGUGUUUUUUUUUAUCAUUUCACGCGCUUUUAGGAGAGUGAGUACAUUCACUUUGCCAUGUCAGCUCUUAGGAGGGUGGUAUUUAAUCACUUCAAAAUUGUUGAAGGGGUAUUUAAACUCUCGUUAGUUAAAGUACUAAAGUAAGUUUUGUUGUCAAGUUCAGGGGGGAUUUGAUGUAUUUUUUCUUUUUUAUUUUAGAAUGUUUGUCAUUUUUUUUUUACUAUGGCUUCUCUCAACACCACACCUUACCCCCUCCCUCCUAAUUUCUUUUGUUGGUAAAUUAUAAGGGAGAGAAAAAAAGAAUAAUAAAAGCAAACGUACUAGGAAAGAGAGAGAGAAUAUCAAGAAAAAAAAAUCAUUUUUCAAGAAAAAGAAUGUUGUUUAAUGUCAAAUAUAUAUAAAAAAAAAAACUUUUAUCGCUAAAAAGUUUAGUUUAAAAUGGGCAAUUAAAUGCCAAUUAAAUUUAUAAAUUGUCAUAAUAUGCCAAUUUUUCAAUUAUUAUACUGUAUCUGUUAUUGUUAUUGCAUAGGGAUGACAAUGGGAUGACUGUAGUGCAAAUUAAGCUUUUUAACCCACAAAAAAUUCAAGUCACAUAACAAUCUUUUGUGUUUUUAAGCCGCGCGACUUUAAAUUUUCGUUCAUUUUCUUACUUUGCUAAUAUAGAUUCAGUUUCAUUAAUUUGCUUGUAUUCAUUACCACUGAAACUCAGUAAUUUUCUGUUAUUUGAAAAUAAAAUCUACAUAUACCAAAAGGGAAAAAAACUAAAGCAACAAAGUAAAAACUUAUGCAAGUAUAUGUUUUCUUUCAAAAAGAGAAUCAGACAUGUAUUUACCAAUGAACCAUCCACUUAUUUUUAGAAGUGGGUUCGCACAUGUAAAAUAUUUUGUAUCGUUACAAAUAUAUAAUUUACACAAAAAAUAUAGAAUUCCUUCAAAGUAGCUCCGCCCCUGGAUAGGAGGUUUGAUCGAAAGUAAAAGAGAACUCUUGAAAAGAGGCUUCAUAUAUGUAAUCUGCUAACAUCUUCCCAAUUGCUUCCAAUUUUCACUUUCUUCAAGUGUAUGCUCCAAAGCUCCCAAAUAAGAAGCAAUGUAAAUAUUAGAAAAAUAUAUAACAACAUAAAUCAAUCUUGCAUAAUCAGUCAAUAGUUGUUCCUAUCUCCUUAAUACAAACAGCCACCAUCUCGCCAUUGCUCAACACAAAAGAUUUCACACGUUAUAAACUAAAAAUUAGUCUGAAAGUAAAUUACACAGAAGAGAUAGGUGAGGAAUCCAAGACUCAAAAGAAGUGGUUAAUUGAAGCAUAUGGUGGUCAGUGAGGAAGAAAAGAAAUGGAAGAUGUUUGGAAGAUAGAUUUAAUUUUAUUUCACAAAGUAAUAUGGAAUUGUUUAAUUUAACAUCUUUAUUUUUUGGUAUAAACAACUUAGAAUAGAAGAUGUAGAUCGUAGGGAGCUUGCAAUUUUGAUCUACAUCUUCUAUACAAAGUUGUUUAUAUCAAAAAAGAAAAGAUACUAAACUAUUCUAUUUUACUUUGUGAAUGAGACUAGAUCUAUCUUCAAAACAUCUACGACUCCUUUCCAUCCAUACUAACCACCAUAUGUAUAAUGGUAUUAGAUUCCACCACUUCUAUUGAAUCUUGGAUCCCCCUCUCCUUUGUGUAAUUUUCUUUUGCACUAGUUAUUAGUUUAUAAUGCGUGGGAUCUUUUCAGUUAAGCAGUGGAGAGAAGGUGGCUGCUGGAUUAAGGAAAUAUGAAUAUGACAAAGUUCUAUUUUUUUCUUCUUCUAUUCCAUUAUUUGAAACACAAAAUUGAUGCGAGUAAGAAAUUUUGAAUUUAAAGGAAUUGAAAAUUUCGAAAGUGAAUUGUCUUAAAAGAAUUUUGGUCUACAUACACUGCAAUACUAAUAGUUUAUAAAAAUCAAGACUCGAACCUGCUUCAAAGAGAUGGGAACGCCAGAAAAGCAACCACACCACAUUUAGCCCAAUAGAUUGCUAUUCUUGCUUGUCAAUUACAAAUGGUUGCCCUCUAUUUAUACUACUAAUUUAGGGUUAACAUAUAAAUAAUAAUUGUUAUGUGAGUCCCUACAUAUUUACAAAUAAGUGUUUAUUCUAGAAUACUCUAUACAACUAGAAUAUUAACGCAACAAAGGAAAAACUGAUGCAAGUAUAUGUUUUCUUUCAAAAAGAGAAUCAGACAUGUAUUUACCAAUGAACCAUCCACUUAUUUUUAGAAGUGGGUUCGCACAUGUAAAAUAUUUUGUAUCGUUACAAAUAUAUAAUUUACACAAAAAAUAUAGAAUUCCUUCAAAGUAGCUCCGCCCCUGGAUAGGAGGUUUGAUCGAAAGUAAAAGAGAACUCUUGAAAAGAGGCUUGCUAACAUCUUUCCAAUUGCUUCCAAUUUUCACUUUCUUCAAGUGCAUGCUCCAAAGCUCCCAAAUAAGAAGCAAUGUAAAUGUUAAUUAACAAUAUAUAUCAACAUAAAUAAAUCUUGCAUAAUCAGUCAAUAGUUGUUCCUAUCUCCUAAAUACAAACAGCCACCAUCUCGCCAUUGCUCAACACAAAAGAUUUCACACGUUAUAAACUAAAAAUUAGUCUGAAAGUAAAUUACACAGAAGAGAUAGGUGGCGAAUCCAUAACUCAAAAGAAAUGAUGGAAGCUAAUUAAUAUCAUCAUGCAUAUGGUGGUCAGUGUGGAAGAAAAGAAAUGGAAGAUAUUUUGAAGAUAGAUUUAAUUUUAAUUUUAUUCGAAAAAGUAAUACGGAAUUGUUUAACAUCUUUAUAUUUUUGGUGUAAACAACUAAGAAUAGAAGAUGUAGAUCAUAGGGAGCUUGCAGUUUUGAUCUACAUCUUCUAUAUAAAGUUGUUUAUAUCAAAAAAGAAAAGAUACUAAACUAUUCUAUUUUACUUUGUGAAUGAGACUAGAUCUAUCUUCAAAACAUCUACGACUCCUUUCCAUCCAUACUAACCACCAUAUGUAUAAUGGUAUUAGAUUCCACCACUUCUAUUGAAUCUUGGAUCCCCCUCUCCUUUGUGUAAUUUUCUUUUGCACUAGUUAUUAGUUUAUAAUGUGUGGGAUCUUUUCAGUUAAGCAGUGGAGAGAAGGUGGCUGUUGGAUUAAGGAGAUAAGAAUAUGACAAAGUUCUAAUUUUUUUUCUUCUAUUCCAUUAUUUGAAACACAAAUUUGAUGCGAGUAAGAAAUUUAGAAUUUAAAGGAACUAAAAAUUUCGAAAGUGAAUUGUCUUAAAAGAAUUUUGGUCUACAUACACUGCAAUACUAAUAGUUUAUAAAAAUCAAGACUCGAACCUGCUUCAAGGAGAUGGGAACGCCAGAAAAGCAACCACACCACAUUUAGCCCAAUAGAUUGCUA
rnacentral:lncRNA from 1 species